rfam:Branchiostoma floridae genomic scaffold BRAFLscaffold_258, whole genome shotgun sequence.
UCACAUAUAGUGCCGGGGAAACAAAAACUCUGAGUUCCUCUACUUCAGAGUUUUGUUACCCCGGCUCUCUGUGGG